rnacentral:sRNA from 1 species
GUCGUGAGAUGUUGGGUUAAGUCCCGCAACGAGCGCAACCCUUGUCCCUAGUUGCUACGCAAGGGCACUCUAGGGAGACUGCCGGUGACAAACCGGAGGAAGGUGGGGAUGACGUCAAGUCCUCAUGGCCCUUAUGGGUAGGGCUUCACACGUCAUACAAUGGCCGGUACAGAGGGUUGCCAACCCGCGAGGGGGAGCCAAUCCCAGAAAGCCGGUCGUAGUCCGGAUUGCAGUCUGCAACUCGACUGCAUGAAGUCGGAAUCGCUAGUAAUCGCGGAUCAGCAUGUCGCGGUGAAUACGUUCCCGGGUCUUGUACACACCGCCCGUCACACCAUGGGAGCGGGAUGUACCAGAAGUAGGUAGGCUAACCCGAGGGUAACUGAGGGAGGCCGCUUACCACGGUGCGUUUCGUGACUGGGGUGAAGUCGUAACAAGGUAGCCGUAUCGGAAGGUGCGGCUGGAUCACCUCCUUUCUCGGAAACAGGAGUCAGGAGUCAGAGGACAGAAGUCAGUAAUGACGACUGCCCACCGACCCUGCCACUCCCAUUCCCACCUGCGAGUACCCACAACCUAUCGGUUGCAGCAGAUAUCCGCUGUAGGCAUUGGGCAGGGCAAUGCGCGCGCACAGCGUGCGGUUGCUGAAAGCUGAGUGCUGACAGCUGAUAGCUGAUAGCUGAGAAACAGUGUUCUUUAACAAUUGGGAAGGCAAGGGUUCAUGCGACUUGAUGAGAGUCGUGUGGACAUAGGGUUGAGUUGUAUCUUCAAAAGCCGGGCACCUUUUAAAAAGGGGGGUGGCCGGUGGCGCGAACACAACCGUAACGUGGAGGGAGGCGAGGAGCUUUUUCGGUCCUCUGUCUUCUGUCCUCUGUUCUGAUGGAGGGUUCACAGUUAUGGGGUCAAGCGACUAAGUGCAUGUGGUGGAUGCCUUGGCGAUUACAGGCGAUGAAGGACGUGGCAGCCUGCGAAAAGCUCCGGGGAGCUGGCAAACAAGCAUUGAUCCGGAGAUGU